CCCAUUUUAGGGGAAGUUCCGCCAAAUUUUUGGUAGAAUUUCUUCUAAGGUGGGCCCCGCAGGGUCACUUCAGAUUUCAGGGUGAAAUCUGAGGCUGGUCCUGUCACAUUGCGUCUUCUCAUACACCGAUAUAAAGUACAGAACACACUCUGUCAAUCACCUAAGUAAAAUAAGGUCUCAACUUAGCACACGAUUUAAAACAAAAGUGGUUACGGUUCGAACCGAGCAUUUGAACCAAAAACCGAAGAUUUCGUCAAUUGAGACAAAACUUCCUUCGAGACCUCUCAAGGUCUCUGGAACACUUCUAGGAUCAAUUUAUCAAAAUUAUAUGACGAUCCAACAGUCAGAUCCUUACGGAUCGUAAACCGAGAACAUCAAAACUACGUAAACCUAGCAUGCUUCAAAUGAUCACAACAUGACCCCAUAAUAUAUCAACAUGCUCAUAUCGAUGAGUAGGUGACAACUAUGAAAACAGAACCCCAAAAACAGGCCAGACGCGCCGCCGGCAACCCCCUAAUUGGGUCAUGAUACCUAUGCCAAAAUCUUCCCAACAUGUACAGCAACUUUCAUAACUAGCACAAAGUCAGAGUCUAAACCAUUUGGCCGAAUCCUACCUCAAAAGUACAAGAAAUCGGAAAAUCCCAAAAUUCUGAUUUCGAUCGAUUCUUCCUCCUCGCUGUGAAUUGGUUCAGGUCACUUGGAAUGAUUGAUGUAUGUCUUCUGGGCUUUCUAACACGACCGGUGGUGCGGCCAGAGUUGGCUGGAGGACGGAGAACUCCGCCGGCGGAUAGAAAAAGCUCCGCCAUGCGUCAUCCUAGCGUGUUUCGCCGUAAACCACCAUCACAGACUUGAAGAGAAUGAAGAGGCAGUUCAAAUGAGACCAGUGGAGGUCGGAUUGGUGGAUGGACGGCGAAGAUAUGGCCGGACGAAGAAAACGGGUCGGAGGGCUACUUGGGAGAGAAAAUCAUAUCCAUAUUUCCUUUUUUGGAAAUUUAGGGUUUUUUGAAAAAUUUCCAAAAUUUUUCUAUUUAUCCAAAAUUGAAAACUUUUCCGUUGGCCAUAACUUCUUCAAACGAACUCUGAUUUUUGUAUUUCGCAUGUCCACAAACUCGUAUUGACACGCUCUACGGUUUUCAUGAAGGAAGUUUUUACCUAAUCGUAACGCACAAAAAUUAAACCCUUGAAUCGAAGCAUUCCAAGUGAAUAAUUGUCCGAAAUAAUUUCUAUUUCUCGAUUAACAUAAGAACAAGGCACCGAAACAAUAAUUUAUACCAACUUGGACCUUUAUUAAUUACACGAAAAAUACAAUAAAUUAAUACGAAAAUCUAGUCAUUACACAAUAAGACACCAAACUGACACGAAAUAACACAAUCAGGAACAAUGGCAAAAGAAGAAUCCAAAUACUCCUUUGCAUACAACCUGCAUAAUCAAAAGAAAACAAUUGUCACUACUUGAGAACAAAGAAAAUGAAAACCAGACUUCUCAAAUGACACAAAAUGAAAACCUGACCUUGAACCUAUCCCAAUCAAUCACUCAAACCCCAAACCGCAGUAUAAACUACAUAAUGUUUCUGCUAAUCUAAAGCAGUUAUCCAAAGAAUGGCUAGUUAAUUAAAUAAACCUACCGUACAACCAUAUAAUCAUAAUCAAAACAUAUUAUCUCAUGUCCUUGCCUCAACUUAAUAGUAUCUUAUCAUCACAUCAUAUAUCUGAGAAAAUAUUGUCAACAAUAGAAAUAAAUACCAACAUUCAAAGACAUAGAGCCGAGAAAAUCCAUGCUUGCAGACAAUCUCUUUGAUAAAGAAUGAAAAACUUAAAAAUCGUUUGAAAAAAAAUUAUCAAAUUGCAGCUCAUAUAAAGAUUCAAAACAACAAAAACAUUUCCUAUAGCUUUCAAAAUGUGGAUUGCCAAUUUGACAAACAAACUCAUAUAAAGCAACAAAAUUGCAACAACCAUACCUAAAAGUUAACAACGCUUCACACUAAGAUACUCAAACUUUUCCUACAAAAGCAACCGAAGAAAAAACACAAAUUACAAACUAAGUCAAAGUAGCAGCAAAUUCCCACUUUACCAAAUGAAAGUGAGCAGAAAUCCAAAUGCAGAAUAUCUGGAAAGUCAAGUAUUAAAAAUAUUUCAGAUUAACUACCCUUACUUCCUCAUGUAUUCUCUCAUUACCUUUAUCAGCAAUACACAAAGCAAUGAACACAAUACCAUAAUACUUUGUAAAUCUUAAGUUUAUCUGUCUGCAAUAUCUAUUGUAUACAAAAGUUACUCUGGUCCCAGUUUUACAAAAAACCUUUUCAAUAGGCUUUGAACUUUCUCAAAUUUAUCCUACCUAUUUAGGCCAUAAAACACAGUAGCCAAAAUCUUAAAAAGAUAAAAACUUUUAGACCAAGAAUACCUUUUAUUCAAAUGUUGUAGACGAUAUUGCAGUGUUGUGUUCCAAGAUUCGCAAACACAAACUGAUUAACACACCCAGAUUUGCCCAAAUCUGCAGUCUAAUCAUGAGAAAAAGAUUAACUCAGAACAAAAACAAAAGCAAAAAACUCAAAACCAAACUUCUAACUAAAAAUCUGAUUUCGCAAAUCACUCGCAAGUAGCUGACCUUUGUAGUUUGGAAGAGUUGAUGUUGGGAUCUGAUUUCCCAAGUAGUUGACCUUGAUAGUCUGGCAGAGUCGAUGUUGAAUCUGAUUUCACAAGUAGCUGACCUUAAUAGUCGAUGUUGGAAUCUGAUUUCUUGGGAAGUUAGUGAGAGGUGGAGAUUCGGUGUUUAGUUCGCCUUAUCUCCUAGAGUUUUGUGGCACGGAACGUAUUGAUGUGCGUAGACUGAAGAAGAAGUCUACGAUAGAUCUAGCACGGGUGAUCGUGGCACAGUUGGAGAGGAUGUUGAUGUGACCCUUGUUGAUGUUCGGCUUGUAUUUCAAACCACUUUACAGAGCAACUUGAACUGAGGAAAAUUGACUUGUUCAAUAUCUAGUGGAGGCUUUAAGGCGAGAAAAUUUUUGAUGGGGAACAAGGACUGGAUUUGAGGAUGAGUUUAGCAGUAACUGAUUGUUGGGUAGUGCGCUUAAAUUUUGGGACGAAAUUUCUUGAAGGAAGGUAGAAUGUAAUACCCCAGAAAUGCGUUAUUAAUUCCUUGGAAUUUCUUAAAAUUAAUAAAGUGUUCAUUAGUAUGAUUUCGUGGUUCCAGGGUGGAGCGAAAGUGUUUCGGACGAAUAAUUAGUCAGAACGUUUUAUUUUCAAGGGGUCAAAGGGUUGACUUUUUAUUUGUUAAGUUUCUAUGAAAACUUCUUUCAGGAAAGUUAUAGAAUGCGUCGAUACGAGUUCAUGGACAUGUUGUACGAGAAAAUCAGAGUUCGUAUGAAAAAGUUACGGUCAGUGGAAAAACUUACUAUUUUUGAAAAUUUGCUAUAAAUACCGAUUUUUUCUGAAAUUAUUUUCAGAAAAUCAGAUUUUCAUUUCGGAAACCAGAAACCCUAAUUUUCUCUCCCUUUUUUGCUGCCAACUUGCCCGACCAGGAUCCGCGUAACUAGAUCCGACGAUUCUGACUCCGUCCUCCGGCAAUGCCACCACAGCGGUUCUCUUCCUCUCUCUCUCCUCUAGCGACCCUGAUCACUCACUCACCUCAACAACCACCGUGCACAGCGCAGCAAGGCCCGAAAGGAGGAGGCGCGCCGCUAGCGUUGCUUCGACCUUUUUCCGGCGAUGAUAAGGCUCAAACCAUAUAUGGUUUUGAAGCUCUCCUCCUUCUGAUCACAUCCAUACUAGCCUUGCGACACGUUUCAUCGUGGAUUGACCGAAAUCUGGAAUUGAAGUUCAAAUGGUGAACAAUAGCCGAUCAAGCUUUCGCUCUUGAUCUCGGCAGAUCAAGGCAGAAUCGACCUUAGCUCCAGGUGUAAAGUUUGAACCCCUUGUUGUGCUCUACAUUGUGUACGGUUGGAUUAGCUUGGAAUGGAGGUCGAAGUGGAGGCGCAUGGGGCUCAUGCUCAACCGCUGGUGGCGGCGUGUGGCUGCACGUCCAGCCUCUGUUGGAGCAGAUCCUUACUCUGUUAUCACCUAUUCGUCGAUACGAGCAUGUUAAUAUAUUAUGAGAUCAUGUUGUGAUCAUUUGAAAAAUGCUAUGUUUAACAGAAUUUCGUUUUUCCCGGUUUGCGAUCCGUGAGGAUUCGACUGUUGGAUCGUUGUAUAAUUUUGAGAAAUUGAGACCUUGGGAGGUCUCGGAGGAAGUGUUGUCUCGAUUGACGAAAUCUCUGAUUUUUUGUUCAAAUGCUCGGUUCGAAGCGUAACCGCUUUUAUUUUUUUCGUGUACUAAGUGGAGACCUUAUUUUACUUAGGUGAUUGACGGAGAAUAGUCUGUACUUUAUCUAGGCUGUGAGAGAAAGCGCAUCAGGAUUUAGAGGUCAGAGUAAUCGUCGUCGAAGCGGAGGGUUUGUUGCUAUCGUAGCUUGGACAUGGAAGUGUACUUUUGGUUUUAGUCUUUUGCUAUGUAGUAAGUGAGUUUACUUAUUUAAUUGUUGUUCAGUUUAAUUUGUAAACUCUCUAUAAUGUAACAUGUGACUAUAAAGAAUGAGUCGAUCUAGACAUUUGUGAGCUCGGUUUGUUUUAUUGCUUAGUGUAAAUGAAAAAUUUUCAGGGUG